rnacentral:rRNA from 1 species
UUGCCUACGGGAGGCAGCAGUGGGGGAUAUUGCACAAUGGGGGAAACCCUGAUGCAGCGACGCCGCGUGUGGGAAGACGGUCUUCUGGAUUGUAAACCACUGUCCCCAGGGACGAAAAUGACGGUACCUGGGGAGGAAGCCCCGGCUAACUACGUGCCAGCAGCCGCGGUAAUACGUAGGGGGCAAGCGUUAUCCGGAUUUACUGGGUGUAAAGGGGGCGCAGACGGCGAUGCAAGCCAGGAGUGAAAGCCCGGGGCCCAACCCCGGGCCUGCUCUUGGAACUGCGUGGCUGGAGUGCAGGAGGG